GACAUAGGCACAAUAAAAACAAGACAUCACCCACAAUACAACAAUAAUGAUAAGAAGAUUUUUCCCCCCCAUAGGAACAAAUAUAAUAGUCAUACGUUGUACAACGGUUGUAUUUUGUUUCUUUUUUUCUCUUUCUCU
rnacentral:ribozyme from 1 species